UUUCUUGACAAAUACAGCAAC
ensembl:piRNA 21ur-1646 ncRNA